rnacentral:rRNA from 1 species
AGUCGAACGAGCGAGAGAGAGCUUGCUUUCUCGGGCGAGUGGCGAACGGGUGAGUAACGCGUGAGGAACCUGCCUCAAAGAGGGGGACAACAGUUGGAAACGACUGCUAAUACCGCAUAAGCCCACGACCCGGCAUCGGGUAGAGGGAAAAGGAGCAAUCCGCUUUGAGAUGGCCUCGCGUCCGAUUAGCUAGUUGGUGAGGUAACGGCCCACCAAGGCGACGAUCGGUAGCCGGACUGAGAGGUUGAACGGCCACAUUGGGACUGAG